rnacentral:rRNA from 1 species
UGGGGAAUAUUGCGCAAUGGGCGAAAGCCUGACGCAGCCACGCCGCGUGAGCGAUGAAGGCCUUCGGGUCGUAAAGCUCUGUGGGGAGAGACGAAGAAAGCCCGUGAAGAGCGGGCCUUGACGGUAUCUCCCUAGCAAGCACCGGCUAACUCCGUGCCAGCAGCCGCGGUAAUACGGAGGGUGCAAACGUUGCUCGGAAUCAUUGGGCGUAAAGCGCACGUAGGCGGCGAAGCAAGUUGGGUGUGAAAGCCCUGGGCUCAACCCAGGAAGUGCAUUCAAAACUGCUUCGCUUGAAUCUCGGAGGGGGUCAGAGAAUUCCCGGUGUAGAGGUGAAAUUCGUAGAUAUCGGGAGGAAUACCAGUGGCGAAGGCGCUGACCUGGACGAAGAUUGACGCUGAGGUGCGAAAGCGCGGGGAGCAAACAGGAUUAGAUACCCUGGUAGUCCGCGCUGUAAACGAUGAGUGCUAGACGGUGGAGGUAUUGA